rnacentral:rRNA from 1 species
AACGAACGCUGGCGGCAUGCCUAACACAUGCAAGUCGAACGAGACCUUCGGGUCUCGUGGCGCACGGGUGCGUAACGCGUGGGAACCUGCCCUUAGGUUCGGAAUAACUCCCCGCAAGGGGUGCUAAUACCGGAUAAUGUCUUCGGCCCAAAGAGUUAUCGCCUUUGGAUGGGCCCGCGUUGGAUUAGCUAGUUGGUAGGGUAAAAGCCUACCAAGGCGACGAUCCAUAGCUGGUCUGAGAGGAUGAUCAGCCACACUGGGACUGAGACACGGCCCAGACUCCUACGGGAGGCAGCAGUGGGGAAUAUUGGACAAUGGGCGAAAGCCUGAUCCAGCAAUGCCGCGUGAGUGAUGAAGGCCUUAGGGUUGUAAAGCUCUUUUACCCGGGAUGAUAAUGACAGUACCGGGAGAAUAAGCUCCGGCUAACUCCGUG